rnacentral:sRNA from 1 species
GGCUUGUCAAUUGUGCCGCAUGAACAUGUAAGGUAUAAAAAUACUAGUAUGAGAAUCGUAUGUUGAGCUUGUCAACUUGUCAACAUACCUAUAGAACUGGAGGGCGAACACCUGAAGGGAAAAGGCUUUUACGAUAAGGGAAUUUAAAAAAAAAUAUAGAUUUAUGGAGAGUGUAGCAAGAGCUUGACAUUGAGCUUGUCUCCGGGAACCUGAAUUCAAAGAAGAAAAGGCUGAAAAAGAAAAAAAAAAGAUGCAAGAUAAAAAUUAAAUCAGUGAUUCCAUAAUCCUCCCUCCUCCUUCCACCGAAUUUAACCGGGUUUUUAUUUAAAAAAAAUCACAGAAAAUUUGAAGUCCCAGAUGUCACAAAGGUGUUGUCUUCAGUCA